GAAGCGGGAAGAGCUCAAAUUUAAAAUCUGGCGGCCUUCUGGACGUCCGAGUUGUAGUCUGGAGAAGUGUUAUCCGCGUCGGACCGUGUACAAGUCUCCUGGAACGGAGCGUCAUAGAGGGUGAGAAUCCCGUCCAUGACACGGACGCCCGAUGCUAUGUGAGGCACUCUCAAAGAGUCGAGUUGUUUGGGAAUGCAGCUCAAAAUGGGUGGUAAAUUCCAUCUAAAGCUAAAUAUUGGCGAGAGACCGAUAGCGAACAAGUACCGUGAGGGAAAGAUGAAAAGCACUUUGGAAAGAGAGUUAAACAGUACGUGAAAUUGUUGAAAGGGAAACGCUUGAAGUCAGUCGCGUCCCGCGGAACUCAGCCUGGUUUCGACCUGGUGUACUUUCCAUGUGGACGGGUCAACAUCAAUUUCGGCCGGUGGACAAGGGCGAGGGGAAUGUAGCGUUGCUUCGGCGACGUGUUAUAGCCCCCCGUCGUAUACACUGGUUGGGAUUGAGGACCGCAGCACGCCCUUGUGGCCGGGGGUUCGCCCCACGUAACGUGCUUAGGAUGUUGGCAUAAUGGCUUUAAGCGACCCGUCUUGAAACACGGACCAAGGAGUCUAACAUGCUUGCGAGUGUUUGGGUGGAAAACCCUUGCGCGUAAUGAAAGUGAAAGUUGGGAACCUCCGCGAGGGGGGCGCCCCCCCCCUCGCGGAGGUGCACCGACGCCCGGCCCUGACGUUCUCUGACGGUGCCGCGGUAGAGCACGUAUGUUGGGACCCGAAAGAUGGUGAACUAUGCCUGAAUAGGGCGAAGCCAGAGGAAACUCUGGUGGAGGCUCGUAGCGAUUCUGACGUGCAAAUCGAUCGUCAAAUUUGGGUAUAGGGGCGAAAGAUAA
rnacentral:rRNA from 1 species